AUUGAACGCUGGCGGCGUGCCUAACACAUGCAAGUCGAGCGGUAAACAGGUGUAGCAAAUACAUGCUGACGAGUGGCGAACGGGUGAGUAAUGCUUUGGAAUCUUCCCAGUAGUGGGGAAUAACCAGUCGAAAAGAUUGGCUAAUACCGCAUACGUCUGUAAAAGGGAAAGCGGGGGACUCGCCUCUUCUUCGGAAGAGAGGCCUCGCGCUAUUGGAUGAGCCAAAGCGGAUUAGCUAGUUGGUGGGGUAAUGGCCUACCAAGGCGACAAUCCGUAGCUGGUCUGAGAGGACGACCAGCCACACCGGAACUGAGACACGGUCCGGACUCCUACGGGAGGCAGCAGUGGGAAUAUUGGACAAUGGGGAAACCCUGAUCCAGCGACGCCGCGUGUGUGAAGAAGGCCUGCGGG
rnacentral:rRNA from 1 species